rnacentral:lncRNA from 1 species
CUCCCCCCACCAGAGGCCCCGCCCCCUUUCCUCCUCCUUUGGCCACGCCCCCUCCCCCCUUGGCCCCGCCCCCUUCUCUCUCUCUUAUCGUUGCAGGUGGCGCCGGAUUGGACGUCGGCCUGGGGGGGGCGGGGCUUAAAGGGGGAGGGGGCGGGGCUUAGAGAACAAAGGGGGCGGAGCCUGAGAGGAGGGGGGCGGGGCUUGAAGGGAGGAGGGGGCGGGGCUUUGCCCUUAUAUGGAGGGGGGGGAGGGGGUAAUAAAGAGAGGGGGGAACAAAGAUGGCGGACGGAGUCACGUGACUGGGGCGGGGCCUGAAGGGAGGGGGAGGGGCUUAAAGGGGAGGGGGGAGGGGGGUCCAGUUUGGCCCAGUUUGCUCCCAGUUCCCUCCCAGUUCGUCCCAGUUUACUUCCAGUUCGUCCCAGUUCAGCCCAGUUGCCUCCCAGUUCACUCCCAGGCCUUCCCAGUAUGUCCCAGUUGCUCCCAGUUCACCCCAAGUCUCCUGGUCGCCUCCCAGUACAUCCCAGUUCCAUCCCAGUUUGUUCCCAGUUCAGCCCAGUUCACCUCAGGCUGUCCUAGCCACCUCCCAGUACAUCCCAGUUCAUUCCCA